GUAGUCCUGGCUGUAAACGAUGUCGACUUGGAGGUUGUUCCCUUGAGGAGUGGCUUCCGGAGCUAACGCGUUAAGUCGACCGCCUGGGGAGUACGGCCGCAAGGUUAAAACUCAAAUGAAUUGACGGGGGCCCGCACAAGCGGUGGAGCAUGUGGUUUAAUUCGAUGCAACGCGAAGAACCUUACCUACUCUUGACAUCCAGAGAACUUAGCAGAGAUGCUUUGGUGCCUUCGGGAACUCUGAGACAGGUGCUGCAUGGCUGUCGUCAGCUCGUGUUGUGAAAUGUUGGGUUAGGUCCCGCAACGAGCGCAACCCUUAUCCUUUGUUGCCAGCGGUUCGGCCGGGAACUCAAAGGAGACUGCCAGUGAUAAACUGGAGGAAGGUGGGGAUGACGUCAAGUCAUCAUGGCCCUUACGAGUAGGGCUACACACGUGCUACAAUGGCAUAUACAAAGAGAAGCGACCUCGCGAGAGCAAGCGGACCUCACAAAGUAUGUCGUAGUCCGGAUCGGAGUCUGCAACUCGACUCCGUGAAGUCGGAAUCGCUAGUAAUCGUAGAUCAGAAUGCUACGGUGAAUACGUUCCCGGGCCUUGUACACACCGCCCGUCACACCAUGGGAGUGGGUUGCAAAAGAAGUAGGUAGCUUAACCUUCGGGAGGGCGCUUACCACUUUGUGAUUCAUGACUGGGGUGAAGUCGUAACAAGGUAACCGUAGGGGAACCUGCGGCUGGAUCACCUCC
rnacentral:rRNA from 1 species